AUGGGGCUUGGAGAUCCUGAAAGGGAAAAAUCUCAUCUGGGAACCCCGGGGAAGGGGAAGGGGAAGGGAAGCCCCCACUCACUCAGGUAUGGUCUUGGAGGACAUCUCCCUCUUGUAGGCCAGCUGGUACUUGAGGCUUUCCACCUCUUUUUUCCAUUGUGGGAGAUCCCACUCGUCCAUCGCGCUCUCCGAGGGCUCCGUUGGGCUGGGAAUGGGGAUUUUGGUGCCUUGUCCUGCCCUGAUCCCUCAAUUUCCCCCCAGAGGCCCCCUCAGGAUGGGGACAGCACGUCCCAGGCUCCCGGGGAGGUUUCCAAGCCCAGAGCGGAGCAGCCAAGGGCUCCAGGAGCUUUUGGAAUGUUUUGGUUGAGGCAAAGCGCCCCUCUCAUGCAAAACUCAGGGACUGAGGCAGAUUUGACUGAAAUUUGGGUGGGGAGCAGCAAAGAGCAGCCAGAGGCUCUUUGGGAAGGGGGUUUUGUCCUUUUCCUGCCUGGCCACGGCUCCGAAGGGAGCGGGAGGGAUUUGGGGUUGCCUAAAGAGCGCUGGAAAUGGCUCGGGGUUGGGGGGAGGCCAGCAGAGAUGUGGGGAGCAAAGCAAACCCCUCUGUACCCCCCACCCCACCGACCCCAGCAGGAACCCUGCGGGAGCACGGGCGCGAUGGGGAAACUGAGGCAGGGAGCUGAGGGGGCUCAAGCAGUGCCCACAGCGGAGCGGCCCCCGUGCCACCCAAACCUGCUGAUGUCCCCUGCCCCACGCCAGGGCUCCCGGAGAAAGGGCAGGAAGGUGAAAUCCUCCCCCGGGCACGGCUCCGUGCCAGCCCCGGCAUCCCCCGGAACUCCAGCCGGGAGCGGGAUCAGCCCCUUCCCCGCUCCCGCCGCAUUCCCGGCGCGUCCCGCUCCCACCUGGCUUGGGAAUGCCGGCAGCAGAGAAAUGGGGCCGCGACUGCAGCCUUGUGCUCCUCCCGCGAGCGCUUCCCUGGCUCCCGGAGAUCCCAAACGCUCGGGAUAA
rnacentral:lncRNA from 1 species